ACAUGAGUUGUGGUAAUCUCUCUCAUGUGGUGUGGCCAUGAUACUCAGUGAAGCAGAUCAGCAGAGACAAGUCAACUUACAUGUCAUGUAUUGUUCCACAUAAUGAAGUGUAGUUUUCUGCUUGAUGUAGAAUUGGUGUUUGAGUUCCUAUUGAUUCAAUUCCCUGCAACUUUGCUGUUGAACAUUCUUCAGUUAGUUUAAGUUUCUCUUCUUGUGAUAGCUUGCUAUUUUUCCAGGUCUGCCUUGUUAUCGGAUGCACCUCUGCAUCUGCAUUGCAUUGGCACACUUCGAUGCCAGACCCCACACCAGUGACUCAGCCGAUCCUUGCUUCAUUUUGUAAAAAUUAGAUCAAGCCCCUUAUUGUGACACUAUCUGCUCUUGGAACAUUGAUGGAGGUCUAUAGUUUUACAUCCCAAUCGCGGGAACUUGUUGGCAAGUGGAUAGAAGCAGAGAUGGUAGUGAGAGUGGAAGAAACCUGUGCUGUCCAUCCAGGAGAAGUCUGUCUUCUGCAGUGACUGUAAGUUGUCUUUUUAAGAGUUGAAGAUGAUGUUGAGGCCAUACAUUAAUGUUACAGACACAUGCACAAAGUAACAUCAAGGCAAUAUUGAAAAUUUCAAAUAUAGACAUUCAAGCCAGUAGGGGUCCUAAGACAUUACCUGAACCAAAUCACUUUCAGGUUUGACAACUUAACAAUCAACAUUUUGCAGUUAGCUGUGUGUGUUCCUUUGACCCUGAAAGAACCAGUGAGUAGAUAGAAUCUGCCCCUCAGGAUUGAUAAUGCCACAGUACAGUAGUCAAGCCUUCAGGAGUUUUUCAGUAAGUCUUUUGUGGUCUUUUGACAUCAAUUCUGUGAAAGUUGCACAUACAUGAAUCCUUCUUGUUAAAACCACCCCUUUCUCUGAAAGAAAAGGGGUGCAGCAGUUCUGUGAAAUGACACGUACUGUUCUCAUGCACCCACUUUCCCAAACAGGUCAACCAAAAAAAGUGCACACAGUGGCUGGUACGCUUGUAACCUUCAACAUCAAAUGACCGUAUCAACUAUAAGUUGUAUGUCAGAUUGAUUUGAGACUCCGCAUCUGUAUUGAUAAGGAAUGUUUUACAUGCACGCCGAGUGUUGAAAAAAUCAGUUGAAAAGCUCUCGGUUGUGAGAUGGUACAAAAUAACCCAGCAACUUCAGGGUUAACACUGGAAGGACUUGUUGACUUUGAUUGGUUUCUCCUAGGAAUCCUGGCCAGAGGAAUGUCCGUUGUGCUUGCUACGUCAGAGGCUCUGCUAUAAAAUGCUGACCAACCAUACAGGGCGCUAUUACCAUUCCAUGAAGCCACUACAUCACACAAUGGUAAUGGAAAGAUUUAAGGGAAAUAGAAAUGAACACUGCCUUAAUCGCCUAAUGGUAAUGGAAAGAGGGAAAAAAAGAACUGAAUGCUGCCUAAAUUCCCUGAUAUACAUCACAGCAGGAGCGCCCCCGCUCAUCCAGAAAAGCUGACAAAUUUUAAUGUUUUUAGCAAGAUACCGAAAAAUGUGACAUUCUCUAAACUUAAAAAAUUCAGGGGACCUGAUGUUUCAAUUCUAGGAAAAUCUUUCUCUAAGUUAUGUAUUCAAAUUCCAACCACGUCAGUUGAAUUAAACGACAUACAUGAUAUAAAACUGCACAUUUGGAAGUGUAAAUAUAGAAAGGUUUGCGGCAAAUAAAUGUUUGACCUGAAAUAUA